GGGUAUAGUUUUGGCUGUGGAGCGGGCUUCUUUCAAAAGAAAGUCUUAUUUCAAAAAGAAGAAGAAGCCUGUGAAGAAUUAAAAGAAUGAGGCCAAGCCCAAGAAGCAAGUUUCGAAGAAGACCGACGAUAAGAAAAAAUAUUUUUAUUGCAAUAUCGAAGGUCACUAGAGAAGAAACUGUCCGGCCUACCUGGCAACUGUCA
rnacentral:lncRNA from 1 species